rnacentral:rRNA from 1 species
AUGUGUGCCUUAGCAUGGAACUGCCGGGGGGCGGGGAACCGCCGGACAGUUCGGGAACUGCUGGCUCUUUGCCAGUCACAUAACCCCAGCCUCGUUUUUCUUUGUGAAACGAGGCAAACGAUGGAGAAGAUGGAGAAAAUGAGAUGGAGAUUGGGUCUGAAAGGUUUUGAAGGGGUAGGAAGUGAUGGAAAAAGUGGGGGCCUUGCUCUUUACUGGCAU